rnacentral:rRNA from 1 species
AGCAGCCGCGGUAAUUCCAGCUCCAAUAGCGUAUAUUAAAGUUGUUGCAGUUAAAAAGCUCGUAGUUGAAUUUCGAGACCGGUCUACUGGUCGUGCUUUUGUACGUACUGGUAUUAUUGGUUUCUCCUUUCUGACGAACUAUAAUGCCAUUAAUUUGGUGUUUUAGGGAAUCAGGACUGUUACUUUGAAAAAAUUAGAGUGUUUAAAGCAGGCUCACGCUUGAAUACAUUAGCAUGGAAUAACGGAAUAGGACGUUUGAUUCUAUUUUGUUGGUUUCUAGGAUCGACGUAAUGAUUAAUAGGGAUAGUUGGGGGCAUUAGCAUUCAAUUGUCAGAGGUGAAAUUCUUGGAUUUAUUGAAGACUAACUACUGCGAAAGCAUUUGCCAAGGAUGUUUUCAUUAAUCAAGAACGAAAGUUAGGGGAUCGAAGACGAUCAGAUACCGUCGUAGUCUUAACCAUAAACUAUGCCGACUAGGGAUCGGAUGAUGUUAAUUUUUUAAUGACUCA